UGUCACUUACCCAAGCUCCUCUCUCUCCAUGAUCUACCUGUUGCUUCUGGUUCCCUGUGGCUUCCUUUGCAAUCCUCCAGACAGAAAACUAAGGUUUCAUCUGCCCUGCUUUUCUUCACACUCGCCACAGCUACAAUCAUAUUUCAGGUGGUGAAAUUAUCUUCAGAUUAAGUGACUUGCUUUGUGGCUGACAACUGCUUCCAGAUGGAUGGGGACAUGUGACUGACCUAAUGAGUGUAAAUCUGCUGGGAGCUAAUGGAAAUAAGAGGGUCCCCUGUCUGAUUCACCUAACAAUUUUGUUUUCUGAACCCUUUAUUUAAGCCUUAGUUUAAGGCUCUUAUUUUGAGGGAACCCAGGCCAAAACAGUAUCUUUCAACCUAGCAGAAGAUUAGGUAUUCACGCUUUGGAAAGAAUGCACCAAAUAGACUCCAGUCACAGUGGAGAGAAAAGUGAGCUUUUAUCCAGAAGACAGGAGAUUUACAUGAAAGUCAACAUGAUGAAUGGUGAAACUGCAGUUUGUUUCCGUGACCAGGUAGCAGAAUCUAUCAUCUGGGCUCGUACACUCUAUACGGAGGAUGGAAGAAUUUAUUUGGAGAGAGGAUCUCUUUAUGACCAGAUAAAGGAAAAAUGCCUACAGAUAUUGACAGUGUGGAAUCCCCUACAACACUGGCCAAAUCCUGCUCAGUCAUCCUACAGUGAAACUCAUGAGUUAGCAAGGCCUCCUCUUGUACACUGUAGGGCCUGGGCCUUGCUUGCUCAGCAAGAGCCCACAAGCCCAUUGCAAACAUGUGUCCUUCUGGCCCUCUUCUGGGCAGGACGCCAAACCUCUGGGAUUUGUAACAAUCCAGGGCCUGGCCAGCCUGGGUCUUACCUUAUCUCACUCAAAGAACAUCAUGUCUAGAAGGAACACAGAGCCCCUUCAUGUGAACUACUAUUCCUGGGAAUGCUGGUGUACCAGGGACAGCCCCUCUCGGCAAGCGUAUAGCCUUCGUGCCCUCUGCCUAUAUAAGCAACCCCCUCCCCGCCUGCAGUUGCGGGUGCACAUUUCCGUCCAGCUGGCUGCCACUGGACAUUCCCUCUAAAUAACAACAAAUAAAGCCAUGUGUCUUGUUCCCCAUCUCCGUAUCUUUUCUUUGGUUUUUCCACAACAUAUCCUGCACUGCUUUCCCAAUUGGGUGUGCGCCCAGACACACACAUACCUUUCAGUCAGCUUUUUAGUGAAAUUCUCAAGUAGAAAUGGACAGAAACAGGUUGCUAAGUAGCAACACAAAGUGUCUAAUGUGACAAACAGGUUAAAACCAACAAGAAAAUAGUAAAAAUGAAUAUGGAAGAGUCUAGGCAAAAUAGGAUGCCCAUGGGAAAAAAUACUCUAAAUAAAAUUUCCUAAUCCUAAUAUGUAA
rnacentral:lncRNA from 1 species